GCAUAGUUCUUUUGGUUUUCUUUAGACAUUUGUAUCAUAAUCAUAUGCUUAUUUUCUGCUACUGACAGUUUCAAACUUAUUUUCUUCCUCUAGCAUAUGGAAACCCUAAAGCUUGUGCAUCUGUCACCACGUUUCGGCCAAGAAAACUUGAUGUUUCUCUUGUGAGCAGAGAAUUUGAUGGUUGGAUGGUGAGUUUCGAUGUAGCUUGGAGAAAAUAAGGAUUACCAAACUUUCACCACCAAGAAAAUCUUGAAUUCAUGUCCAAGCAUUUUAACGCAGGGAAAAAUUGUUAAGGAUGAUUCUAAACGGGGAAAUUUGAAAGAAUAGUAGAGGGGUUUUAAUAAGCCCUUCGCCCAAUGCCAAAUAAUUCUUUUCCAUUUGUAGCUCUUGAGUAUUGAUGGGGAAUUCCCUAUUUAUGUAAUAGCCUACAUGAUAAUCCAAAUCAAUCUAUUACCAAUUCAAAAUA